AUACCUACCUGGCAGGGGAGAUAGCAUGAUCACUAGGGUGGUUUUCCCAGGCUGAUCUAUUGCUCUCCAGACAUGCUGAUCCCUGUGACUUCCCCAAAUGGGGGGAACUGCAUAAUCUGUGGUAGUGGGGGACUGUUUUUGCACUCUCCCUUA
rnacentral:snRNA from 1 species